rnacentral:lncRNA from 1 species
GGAGAGAAUAAAGGGGAGAGAAUAAAGGGGAGAGAAUAAAGGGGAGAGAAUAAAGGGGAGAGAAUAAAGGGAUAAGAGAAUAAAGGGGAGAGAAUAAAGGGGAGAGAAUAAAGGGAUAGAGAAUAAAGGGGAGAGAAUAAAGGGAUAAGAGAAUAAAGGGAUAGAGAAUAAAGGGAUAGAGAAUAAAGGGAGAGAGAAUAAAGGGGAGAGAAUAAAGGGGAGAGAAUAAAGGGAUAGAGAAUAAAGGGAUAGAGAAUAAAGGGAUAGAGAAUAAAGGGGGAGAGAAUAAAGGGGAGAGAAUAAAGGGGAGAGAAUAAAGGGGGAGAGAAAGGGAUAGAGAAUAAAGGGAUAGAGAAUAAAGGGAUAGAGAAUAAAGGGGGAGAGAAUAAAGGGGAGAGAAUAAAGGGGAGAGAAUAAAGGGGGAGAGAAUAAAGGGGGAGAGAAUAAAGGGAUAGAGAAUAAAGGGUGAGAGAAUAAAGGGGAGAGAAUAAAGGGGAGAGAAUAAAGGGGGAGAGAAUAAAGGGGAGAGAAUAAAGGGAUAGAGAAUAAAGGGAUAGAGAAUAAAGGGAUAAGAGAAUAAAGGGGAGAGAAUAAAGGGAUAAGAGAAUAAAGGGAUAGAGAAUAAAGGGGAGAGAAUAAAGGGAUAGAGAAUAAAGGGGGAGAGAAUAAAGGGGAGAGAAUAAAGGGGGAGAGAAUAAAUGGGAGAGAAUAAAGGGGGAGAGAAUAAAGGGUGAGAGAAUAAAGGGGAGAGAAUAAAGGGAUAGAGAAUAAAGGGGAGAGAAUAAAGGGGAGAGAAUAAAGGGGGAGAGAAUAAAGGGGGAGAGAAUAAAGGGAUAGAGAAUAAAGGGUGAGAGAAUAAAGGGGAGAGAAUAAAGGGGAGAGAAUAAAGGGAUAGAGAAUAAAGGGGGAGAGAGUAAAGGGAUAAGAGAAUAAAGGGAUAGAGAAUAAAGGGGGAGAGAAUAAAGGGGAGAGAAUAAAGGGGAGAGAAUAAAGGGAUAGAGAAUAAAGGGGGAGAGAAUAAAGGGGAGAGAAUAAAGGGGGAGAGAAUAAAGGGGAGAGAAUAAAGGGGGAGAGAAUAAAGGGGGAGAGAAUAAAGGGGGAGAGAAUAAAGGGGAGAGAAUAAAGGGGAGAGAAUAAAGGGGGAGAGAAUAAAGGGUGAGAGAAUAAAGGGGAGAGAAUAAAGGGGGAGAGAGUAAAGGGGGAGAGAAUAAAGGGUGAGAG